GGGUUUAUCAGAUUUCCUUUCUCCUGUGACCUAGAUACCGGCAGGCGCCUGGUCCCCGGCUCAGAAUCUGUCAGCCUCAAACAUUCAUUGACAACCUACGAUGGCCUGGCACAGAGCUGAGAACCUCCAGGGGUGUCAGAGAUGAACCAGAACAUCUUCCAGGGAGGCCUUCACCUUGGCCCCAUAUUCGAGCUUUCACCUUGACCCCACAUUCAGAGAGCUCUCAAAUGCCUUACGGUGACUUCCAGUCUGGGCUUGCAGUGUGAUUAUAGAAACCCGACGCACAGGUUUGUUGGAAAACAGUGGAGCUGAGGCCCAGAAGUCGCUCACUACGAGAUAGUUGUGCUGCACUGUGGAUUACACUUGUAUUCCCAGCACCCGUGACGGUCACUCACACGCGGUAGUGCGUCUUCAGCCACCGUGUGUCCAGCUGAAUUCAGUUGGCCACAUGCUCCGUACGGCCCUAAAUCAGAGAACACAGUAGAGACCCAGCCGGGCCCUGAGUAACACAGGUUGCAGCCUUCUCCCUGCCCGUGCCCCUCAUCUGAGCACUCCACCCCCCAGCCCUCGCUGAGGACCUCACCCGUGAGUGGAAGGGCAGUGACGCCAGCUACCCCUGAUCUGAAAUGCGCUUGCAAGUUUUGGAGGAGCCUGUGAGGUCAGAAGGAAGAAUCUGCUUCCAGAAGGAAGCAAAGGCCCGGACUGACAAAGCGACAUGCCCAAGGUCACACCAUUCCAGAGGGGAGCAGGAUUCUAGUCCUGAUCUGCUGGGCUCUGAGGGGAGGGCCAGGCCGAGGAUGGUGGGAGAAUUCCAGACUCUGGUCAGCUGCCCCUGCAUUCAGGGAGGCUCUGGGUGGGGUGGAAACAGCCACCAGAAGCCAGGGGCACGCGGCAAACAAGGGUGCCAGGAAAUGAACCGGACCCAGGGUCCUUCCUCCCGGCCCGCCCUGUGCCCCUGGCCAACUGCCACCUCCCUUUGAGGCUUCUCCCUGCAAGAGAACAGAGAAAGCUGGGCCAGAGCCCAGGGAUGGCCCUACACGGGGGAGGGGGGGGGACCAGGAGGGUCUUGAAGCCCAGGAGGAGCCCUGCCAGGCCUAAGCGCCCCCUGUCCUGGGAAGAGAGAGAGAAAUCCCAG